UGGGGAAUCUUGGACAAUGGGGCAACCCUGAUCCAGCCAUGCCGCGUGAGUGAUGAAGGCCCUAGGGUCGUAAAGCUCUUUCGCCUGUGAAGAUAAUGACGGUAGCAGGUAAAGAAACCCCGGCUAACUCCGUG
rnacentral:rRNA from 1 species